UACGUAGGGGGCAAGGCGUUGUCCGGAUUUAUUGGGCGUAAAGCGCUCGCAGGUGGUUCGUUGCGUCGUGCGUGAAAGACCCCGGCUCAACUGGGGAGGGUCGUGCGAUACGGGCGAACUGGAGGCCAGUAGGGGGAUGCGGAAUUCCGGGUGUAGUGGUGGAAUGCGUAGAGAUCCGGAGGAACACCAGCGGCGAAGGCGGCAUCCUGGACUGGUCCUGACACUCAUGAGCGAAAGCGUGGGGAGCGAGUCCGGG
rnacentral:rRNA from 1 species